GAGAUAAGCUAGCCCAAAGCAUUGGAUAUAAAACAUUCCUGAACAUCAGCACUAUUCAACAUAGUUUCUUCUCAAAAAUGUCAAUGCCUGUUGAAAUAAGCAUCUAGUGAUGCCAUAUAUAAUACCUGCAUACCAUCUGUUCUACUUUUUUGACUUAAACUACUGUAAUUUCAUAUUUGAACAAGAAAACUGUGUAAAGAAAACAGCCUCCAUAGAUUAAGGCAACAUCCAGAUACAGGCACCUUCCCAUUUAUCUGCUCCCAAACAGAAGACCAAGAUUAUGUUUUGUCUGACUUUGUAAUUUUCAGAAUUCAGCAUUAAAUAUGAAGUGAACUCAGAAGCCUCUGGACAUUCCACACUGGCCCUACAGAGUUGAGAGAUGACUAAGACAAAAUGUACCUGAAACUGACUCCUCUUCUUGGUGAUCACGAAAUUCAGAGGCAGAAGAAAAAGGAAUACAGCAAUUGCAGUCAAGGCAGAUGGCCCUAGAAGCUGCCAGGAACUAGAUUAGUGCUGAAAGUGAUCCAGCAGUACCCUGGCAAUUCCAGCCAUUCCUGUUUCCUCCCGUGUCCUUGGAUGCGUUAACGAGGACAUCUUGUGGCUGGCUUAAGUAAGUGAUCCGAAACAAUAUCAGGUUUUGGUUAAAAAACAAACCCAAACCCUCAACAAACUAUUCUUGCAGCAAAAAU